CUCUGUGGUUGUGAUGGACUUCUUGCCAGUUUCCUACUAGACUUGUGGACAUGUCACUAGACAGUCGUGUUUUGUCUGUCGGCACCGCCAAUGCCUAUUAGCAAGGCGCUGUGUAUUAUAUUUAUUAUCAUCUGCUGGGUUUCGACAUGUUUAGUAACUUGACUAGAAUGAUCUCGGAUGGAUAUUCAUAUAUGGGCCAAUAGCUCAUCUGUAUCAUUGAGAAAGCAUCCGCUAUUAAAAUGGGGGUGUCUUUAACUAAGCUGGUGUAUGUUUUGUUUGUUUUUUUGUUGAAAGAUUUCUCAUUGAAUAUUAAACUCAAGGGUAUAAUUAAUUAGUGUCACUCAAAUUAGAAACAAAAAUUAUUGAAAUCUAAACUGCGUAGAAUAGGCUUAUCCGCAAAGAAUCAAAAUGUGAACAUUUUCAUUAUCUUUAAAUGUGUAUCUCGUCAUUUUCAAAAGUGGGAAUUUUUUAGUUAUCCUCUUAAGUGAAACAGGAUUUGUUUUUAAUCAGAUUUUGCUUUCCCAAAUGCAUUCAGUGUUUGUACAAAAUUAAUUUUAUCACUCAAGACAUUUAAUUUUAAUUGUAUCCCAUCUCAAAUAAACUGUAGUCCUUUUUGCGUAAAACGGUCCUAUUAAUAUCCUGACUUUUCCAGACUUUUCCACUGUUUAAUCAGAUUGUGUCAACUUCAUUACAAUGCAUUAUUAGGUCAACUUUAAGACACUGGUUUCAAGUCAAGCAAUAAGCUUUCCAAUGAACGGUGACCAAGGCACUUCUUUGUUAUAGACCUUUAUCAUGCUGCCACCAUUUCAGUCAUGUUCCCUGUAUCCAAUAACAGUACUGAAUGAUAAUGUUUUUUGUACAAAAAGGAACCAGACUAUUUUUCCAUCCAGCUUCGCUUUGGUUACGUUUAUUCGAAUGGGAAAAACAUGGCCGCAACAUGAUAAUGGUCUAUUGGUUAAGCCCAAGAAAAGGUCCCAUUUUCGUCCCAUAUGUAACACUAUGUUUUCUUUGAUACAGUACAUAAUCAUGGCAAAGA